rnacentral:rRNA from 1 species
AACGAACGCUGGCGGCAUGCCUAACACAUGCAAGUCGAACGAGACCUUCGGGUCUAGUGGCGCACGGGUGCGUAACGCGUGGGAAUCUGCCCUUGGGUUCGGAAUAACAGUUGGAAACGACUGCUAAUACCGGAUGAUGACGUAAGUCCAAAGAUUUAUCGCCCAAGGAUGAGCCCGCGUAGGAUUAGCUAGUUGGUGAGGUAAAGGCUCACCAAGGCGACGAUCCUUGGCUGGUCUGAGAGGAUGAUCAGCCACACUGGGACUGAGACACGGCCCAGACUCCUACGGGAGGCAGCAGUGGGGAAUAUUGGACAAUGGGCGAAAGCCUGAUCCAGCAAUGCCGCGUGAGUGAUGAAGGCCUUAGGGUUGUAAAGCUCUUUUACCCGGGAUGAUAAUGACAGUACCGGGAGAAUAAGCUCCGGCUAACUCCGUG